AUUGAACGCUGGCGGCAUGCCUUACACAUGCAAGUCGAACGGCAGCACGGGUGCUUGCGCCUGGUGGCGAGUGGCGAACGGGUGAGUAAUACAUCGGAACAUGUCCUGUUGUGGGGGAUAGCCCGGCGAAAGCCGGAUUAAUACCGCAUACGAUCUACGGAUGACAGCGGGGGACCUUCGGGCCUCGCGCUAUAGGGUUGGCCGAUGGCUGAUUAGCUAGUUGGUGGGGUAAAGGCCUACCAAGGCGACGAUCAGUAGCUGGUCUGAGAGGACGACCAGCCACACUGGGAAUGAGACACGGCCCAGACUCCUAAGGGAGGCAGCAGUGGGGAAUUUUGGACAAUGGGCGAAAGCCUGAUCCAGCAAUGCCGCGUGUGUGAAGAAGGCCUUCGGGUUGUAAAGCACUUUUGUCCGGAAAGAAAUACUUGGCCCUAAUACGGUCGGGGGAUGACGGUACCGGAAGAAUAAGCACCGGCUAACUACGUG
rnacentral:rRNA from 1 species